rnacentral:rRNA from 1 species
GACAGAGGCCACGAACGUUGUUCGGAAUCAUUGGGCGUAAGGCGCGUGUAGGCGGUCCGGUAAGUCCGCUGUGAAAGUCGGGGGCUCAACCCUCGAAUGCCGGUGGAUACUGUCGGGCUAGAGUGCGGAAGAGGCGAGUGGAAUUCCUGGUGUAGCGGUGAAAUGCGCAGAUAUCAGGAGGAACACCUAUUGCGAAGGCAGCUCGCUGGGACGUAACUGACGCUGAGACGCGAAAGCGUGGGGAGCAAACAGG